rnacentral:rRNA from 1 species
CAGUCGCCGCGGUAAUACGAGGGGGGCAAGCGUUGUUCGGAAUUAUUGGGCGCAAAGGGUGCGUAGGCGGCUUGACAAGUCCUGUGUGGAAUCUAUGGGCUCAACCCAUAGUCUGCACGGGAAACUGUCGGGCUUGAGAAUGGGAGAGGUGAGUGGAAUUUCCGGUGUAGCGGUGAAAUGCGUAGAUAUCGGAAGGAACACCUGUGGCGAAAGCGGCUCACUGGACCAUUUCUGACGCUGAUGCACGAAAGCUAGGGGAGCAAACAGGAUUAGAUACCCCGGUAGUCCCUGUCUCUUAUAC